rnacentral:rRNA from 1 species
UACGAAGGGGGCUAGCGUUGCUCGGAAUUACUGGGCGUAAAGCGCACGUAGGCGGCUUCUUAAGUCGGUGGUGAAAUCCUGGAGCUCAACUCCAGAACUGCCUUCGAUACUGGGAAGCUCGGAGUCCGGGAGAGGUGAGUGGAACUGCGAGUGUAGAGGUGAAAUUCGUAGAUAUUCGCAAGAACACCAGUGGCGAAGGCGGCUCACUGGCCCGGUACUGACGCUGAGGAGCGAAAGCGUGGGGAGCGAACGAGGAUUGAUGAAACCCC